rnacentral:lncRNA from 1 species
CUAUUAGGCUUGUUCCAUGUAGGGUUGAAAAAUGAUCCUGGUUGUCCCAUUGGUAUAGAAGGUACUUGGUUUGAUGACAUCGGUGGGAUGACAUUAACUGAUCUUGAAUAUUGGCAUUGGAAUUGGCCACUGUUUCUAACAUCCAAGAUGACUAAAUAUUAAUAAUAUCUUUUUUAUUUAUAUUUUUAUCAUAUAGUCGUGUUACAACAUGACAGCGGUCUUUUAACAAGACU